rnacentral:rRNA from 1 species
CCCUACUGCUAUYGGGGUGGGACUAAGACAUGCGAGUUGAGCGUCUCUAAGCUAUGGUAGAGACGCAGCGUACGGCUCAGUAACACGUGGCUAACCUACCCUUAGGACGGGGACAACCCCGGGAAACUGGGACUAAUACCCGAUAGGUGAGGAGGCCUGGAAUGGUUCUUAGUCGAAAAGGCGUUGAAACCAUGCUUUUCGACGUCGCCUAAGGAUGGGGCCGCGUCCGAUCAGGUUGUUGGUGGGGUAACGGCUCACCAAGCCUUUAACCGGUACGGGCCGUGAGAGCGGGAGCCCGGAGAUGGGCACUGAGACAAGGGCCCAGGCCCUACGGGGCGCAGCAGUCGCGAAAACUCCGCAAUGCGCGAAAGCGUGACGGGGCUACCCCGAGUGCCGUCCGCUGAGGAUGGCUUUUCCCCGGUGUAAUGAGCCGGGGGAAUAAGGAGAGGGCAAGACUGGUGUCAGCCGCCGCGGUAAUACCAGCUCUCCGAGUGGUAGGGAUGAUUAUUGGGCUUAAAGCGUCCGUAGCCGGCUUAGCAAGUCUCCUGUUAAAUUCAGCGACCUAAUCGUUGAGCCGCGGGAGAUACUACUAGGCUAGGAGGCGGGAGAGGCCGACGGUAUUCUCGGGGUAGGGGUGAAAUCCUAUAAUCCCGGGAGGACCACCAGUGGCGAAGGCUGUCGGCUAGAACGCGCUCGACGGUGAGGGACGAAAGCUGGGGGAGCGAACCGGAUUAGAUACCCGGGUAGUCCCAGCCGUAAACGAUGCGGGCUAGGUGUUGGGGUGGCUACGAGCCACUUCAGUGCCGCAGGGAAGCCAUUAAGCCCGCCGCCUGGGGAGUACGGCCGCAAGGCUGAAACUUAAAGGAAUUGGCGGGGGAGCACCACAAGGCGUGAAGCUUGCGGUUC